rnacentral:rRNA from 1 species
UACGUAGGGACCGAGCGUUGUCCGGAAUCAUUGGGCGUAAAGAGCGUGUAGGCGGCCACUUAAGUCCUGCGUGAAAUCUUGCGGCUCAACCGCAAGCGGUCGUGGGAAACUGGGUGGCUAGAGUGCGGGAGAGGAGAGUGGAAUUCCCAGUGUAGAGGUGAAAAUUCGUAGAUAUUGGGGAAGAACACCGGUGGCGAAGGCGGCUACUCUGGAGCCCGAUACGUGACGCUGAGGCGCGAAAGCGUGGGGAGCAAACAGG